CUGCUCGCUGUUAUCCUCAAAAACCCCACCAAGAUCUGUGUUGAACUGUAAUGUUGGCGAACACUUAGGCCUGUGUUAUCAGAGGACUUGCUAACAUGAAGAAAACGGUCCAGAGAGACAACGAAAAGGAGGGACUGUCUUUUAAGCUGUGGAGUCAGACGGAGGGCUCGCAUUUACCUCACAAACGGCAUUGCAGAGGACUAUUACAACUAGAACCAACUCAAGCACACAAUGGUGACACACAACUCCCUGUGAUAUGAAAAUUUCCCUGUGGUAGUUAUUCAGAUUCUUUCUCAUUCUCAUUGUGUAGCACUGGUUUAAAGGGUUAGUUCACCCAAAAAAAAUUUUCGUCAUUAAUUAGUCACCCUGAUGUCAUUCUAAACCCCUAAGGCCUCCGUUCAUCUUCGGAACUCAACUCAUUGUGUAGCACUGGUUUAAAGGGUUAGUUCACCCAAAAAUUU
rnacentral:lncRNA from 1 species